rnacentral:rRNA from 1 species
CCUACGGGCGGCAGCAGUGGGGGAUAUUGCACAAUGGGGGAAACCCUGAUGCAGCGACGCCGCGUGGGUGAAGAAGUAUUUCGGUAUGUAAAGCCCUAUUAGCAGGGAGGAAAGAAGACGGUACCGUACUAAGAAGCCCCGGCUAACUACGUGCCAGCAGCCGCGGUACUACGGAGGGGGCGAGCGUUAUCCGGAUUUACUGGGGUUAAAGGGAGCGUAUACGGCAGGGCAAGCCAGGAGUGAAAGCCCGGGGCCCAACCCCGGGACUGCUCUUGGAACUGUGCGGCUGGAGUACGGCAGGGGCAGGCGGAAUUCCUGGUGUAGCGGUGAAAUGCGUAGAUAUCAGGAGGAACACCGGUGGCGAAGGCGGCCUGCUGGACCGCGACUGACGUUGAGGCUCGAAAGCGUGGGGAGCGAACAGGAUUAGAUACCCGGGUAGUC